rnacentral:rRNA from 1 species
GAUGAACGCUGGCGGCGUGCUUAACACAUGCAAGUCGAACGGAAAGGCCGAAGCUUGCUUCGGUACUCGAGUGGCGAACGGGUGAGUAACACGUGGGUGAUCUGCCCUGUACUUCGGGAUAAGCUUGGGAAACUGGGUCUAAUACCGGAUAUGACGAUCUCUUGGAUGGGGUUGUGGAAAGCUUUUGCGGUAUGGGAUGAGCUCGCGGCCUAUCAGCUUGUUGGUGGGGUAAUGGCCUACCAAGGCGUCGACGGGUAGCCGGCCUGAGAGGGUGUACGGCCACAUUGGGACUGAGAUACGGCCCAGACUCCUACGGGAGGUAGCAGUGGGGAAUAUUGCACAAUGGGCGCAAGCCUGAUGCAGCGACGCCGCGUGGGGGAUGACGGCCUUCGGGUUGUAAACUCCUUUCGCAAUCGACGAAGCCUUUUGGUGACGGUAGGUUGAGAAGAAGCACCGGCUAACUACGUG